rnacentral:rRNA from 1 species
AGAUUGAACGCUGGCGGCAUGCCUAACACAUGCAAGUCGAACGGGAGUAGCAAUACUCUAGUGGCGGACGGGUGAGGAAUACGUAGGAAUUUGCCCUUAAGUGGGGGAUAACCCGGGGAAACCCGGAUUAAUACCGCAUGACCUCGAAAGAGCAAAGUGGGGGAUCGCAAGACCUCACGCUUUUGGAGAAGCCUACGUCGGAUUAGCUAGUUGGUGAGGUAAUGGCUCACCAAGGCGACGAUCCGUAACUGGUCUGAGAGGAUGAUCAGUCACACCGGAACUGAGACCACGGUCCGGACUCCGUACGGGAGCAGCAGGUGGGGAAUAGUUGGACAAGUGGGACGCAAGCCUGAUCCAGCAAGUGCCGCGUGUGUGAACGAAGGCCGUUCGGUUAGUAACG